rnacentral:rRNA from 1 species
UACGUAGGGUCCGAGCGUUGUCCGGAUUUAUUGGGCGUAAAGAGCUCGUAGGCGGCUCAGUAAGUCGGAUGUGAAAACUCGGGGCUCAACCCCGAGACGCCAUCCGAUACUGCUGUGGCUUGAGUCUGGUAGGGGAACACGGAAUUCCUGGUGUAGCGGUGAAAUGCGCAGAUAUCAGGAGGAACGCCGAUGGCGAAGGCAGUGUUCUGGGCCAGUACUGACGCUGAGGAGCGAAAGCGUGGGGAGCAAACAGG